UGUGUUCAGACCUGUGUGAAAAACAGAGUGAAAAAAUUGAAGUUCCCCUCGGGGAUUAAUAAAGUGUAUAUAUAAAAAAAAAAAAAAAAAUUGUAUGUGAGGCCAGCCAACCAUUUUCUGUGGUUGAGACACCACCCUUCAAGACUAUGAUAGAAACCUUGCAACCUCAUACAGUAAUGACAAGGAAAACGUUAUGCACAAGAAUUCAGGAAGCUGCAAAACACAAGAAAAGCAUAAUCAUCAAAAAGCUGAGUGCUGUGAACUAUGUUGCUACCACAACAGACUGCUGGUCUGCCAGACAAUGUAGCUACCUAGGUGUCACCUGUCACUGGAUAGACAACACCUCACUGGAGAGGCACUCCGCUACAUUGGCUUAUAGACCCGUCAAAGGCUCGCACAUGUUUGACAUCCUUGCUGCCGCAUUAGAGGAAAUACAUUCUGAGUACCACAUCAGGGAAAUAGUGACCAGGACGACAACAGACAGUGGCUCAAACUUCCUGAAGGCCUUUUGAUUAUAUGGUGAGGAGACAGAGGAGGAAGCCACCAAUGUACAAGAGGAGAGUGACUCCACCCUUGAUGAUGCAACAGUAGAUGAGAGUGAGUCAGAGGUGGAGUAUCAAGAUGUGUCUGCUAUUCUGGAUGACAACACAGGCCUUGAGUACCAACUUCCAAGGCACCAAAAGUGUGCAUGCCAUCUCCUCGAUUUUAUAUCCACAGUUAAUGCCACUGCUGCAGGAGGAGCUGCCAAUGAAACCUACAAGAGGCUCUCUCGGUCUGCUUUUGCAAAAUGUCACACUCUUUGGAAUAACACCAGCAGGUCAACCAUGGCUCAUGAAACAGCGGAACGUGAAUGCAAGCUGCAGUUUCUCCGACCCAAUCAGACACGUUGGAGCACCCUGUUCCUCGCCGUAGAAAGGAUUAUGUGCAUCCACAGAGAGCAAGGAGAACAAGCAAUUCGCAAUGUCUGCACAGCAUUAAAGAUAAAGAUGGGAAUCAUCGGUGCAUAUGGGCCUCCUGCUGCCAACACUUUACCAGUUGCGGGACAAGCUGAAGUCAUCUUGCAAAAUAUGUACACCUCUUGUUCACGCCCUGCAGAGAGGGAUCCAGAAACGUUUUGGGGGCGUCAUGAAAGAGCCUGAGCUGAUUGCAGCAGCAAUACUCUUACCAAGAUUCAGAACAUCCUGGACCACAGAGGAGAACAUCUUAAAUGCUGGCCUUGACUACAUCAGAAAUCACCUCGACACCGACUUGGGUGAUGUCACCAGCACAAACAGCAGCCUCUCUGAUGAAGACGACUUCUUUGCAUCCAUGGAGUCAGGAAAGUCAUAAGUAGGAGAGCUGGAGAGGUACCUUUCAUGUCUGUCCACUGCAGGUAUGGAUCUACUCCACACCUUUCCUCACAUCAAGAAGCUGUCACUCAAAGUCAACACAGGUCUUCCUGCAUCUGCAUCCUGUGAAAGACUUUUAAGUCAUGCAGGACUCCUGUUCACUGCUAAACGAUCACAGCUUCACUGCAAGAACCUUGAGAGCCAACUACUGUUGAAGCUUAAUAGUCACAUCACUGAGUGAUUCUUUGGUGAAAAUUUUUGUUUCUGCAUUGUUUUGUCACAAACACACAGACUCAAACACACACAUGCACAGUUUCAGAGUUUAUGGGCUGCCUUGUUCUAGUUCUGCCUGCUGAGCCUGGUGAAAAAGUAAAAAGGUUUGGAAAUUUGUGUUACUUGUGCUGUAAUUUGAGUUAUUUUGUAAAUAUUUAAUUUAUUUUUAUUUUUGAUUUAUUCUGUUAUUAUUUUAUUGAUUUUAUUUUUUAUUGAAGUACUUGAAUUU